AUUCAUCAUAGGUAUUAUUCACUGAUCAGAAAUGGAGUAUGCACACCGAAUACAGAGGCCUAAAAUCAAUUAGCAUCAGAAUCCCUGCACAUUUCACCCAAAACAUGGUUCAGGACACUGUUUAUGGUGCAAAUCUGCAACUAAAAAAUAAAUCUAAAACUGUUUUUCUUUAUCUUCUCUUAGGCCCCAAAUUAUACCCUCCAAAAUCAAACCCACAUCAUCCACCCUUUGAGCUCUUACUUGCAGCCUUUAAAACCAUUAAAGAACUUAUUCAGCUGCCUAUAUCACUUUAGGACUUCUAUUCAACCCCUCCUAGCUAUCCU
rnacentral:misc_RNA from 1 species